UCCAGACUCCUACGGGAGGCAGCAGUGAGGAAUAUUGGUCAAUGGACGAGAGUCUGAACCAGCCAAGUAGCGUGAAGGAUGACUGCCCUAUGGGUUGUAAACUUCUUUUAUAUGGGAAUAAAAUGUUCCACGUGUGGGAUUUUGUAUGUACCAUAUGAAUAAGGAUCGGCUAACUCCGUGCCAGCAGCCGCGGUAAUACGGAGGAUCCGAGCGUUAUCCGGAUUUAUUGGUUUUAAAGGGUGCGUAGGCGGACGCUUAAGUCAGCGGUAAAAUUGCGGGGCUCAACCUCGUCGAGCCGUUGAAACUGGGUGCCUUGAGUGGGCGAGAAGUACGCGGAAUGCGUGGUGUAGCGGUGAAAUGCAUAGAUAUCACGCAGAACUCCGAUUGCGAAGGCAGCAUACCGGCGCGCAACUGACGCUCAUGCACGAAAGCGUGGGUAUCGAACAGGAUUAGAUACCCCAGUA
rnacentral:rRNA from 1 species